rnacentral:rRNA from 1 species
UGCAGUCGAGCGGGGGAGGUAGCUUGCUACUGGACCUAGCGGCGGACGGGUGAGUAAUACUUAGGAAUCUGCCUAUUAGUGGGGGACAACGUUCCGAAAGGAGCGCUAAUACCGCAUACGCCCUACGGGGGAAAGCAGGGGAUCUUCGGACCUUGCGCUAAUAGAUGAGCCUAAGUCGGAUUAGCUAGUUGGUGGGGUAAAGGCCUACCAAGGCGACGAUCUGUAGCGGGUUUGAGAGGAUGAUCCGCCACACUGGGACUGAGACACGGCCCAGACUCCUACGGGAGGCAGCAGUGGGGAAUAUUGGACAAUGGGCGCAAGCCUGAUCCAGCCAUGCCGCGUGUGUGAAGAAGGCCUUAUGGUUGUAAAGCACUUUAAGCGAGGAGGAGGCUUACCUGGUUAAUACCUAGGAUAAGUGGACGUUACUCGCAGAAUAAGCACCGGCUAACUCUGUGCCAGCAGCCGCGGUAAUACAGAGGGUGCAAGCGUUAAUCGGAAUUACUGGGCGUAAAGCGCGCGUAGGUGGCCAUUUAAGUCAAAUGUGAAAUCCCCGAGCUUAACUUGGGAAUUGCAUUCGAUACUGGAUGGCUAGAGUAUAGGAGAGGAAGG